UGGGGGGUAGCUCAGUGGUAGAGCACUUGCCUAGCACACAAGAGGCCAUGGGUUCAAACCCCGCAUCACAA
rnacentral:tRNA from 1 species